rnacentral:rRNA from 1 species
CCUACGGGUGGCAGCAGUGAGGAAUAUUGGUCAAUGGUCGUAAGACUGAACCAGCCAAGUCGCGUGAGGGAUGAAGGUUCUAUGUAUCGUAAACCUCUUUUAUCAGGGAAUAAAGUGUGGGACGUGUCCUGUGUUGUGUGUACCUGAUGAAUAAGCAUCGGCUAACUCCGUGCCAGCAGCCGCGGUAAUACGGAGGAUCCGAGCGUUAUCCGGAUUUAUUGGGUUUAAAGGGUGCGUAGGCGGCUCUGUAAGUCAGCGGUGCAAGUCUGUGGCUCAACCCCCGACUUGCCGUUGAAACUGGCAGUCUCGAGUAUGUGUGAGGUAUGCGGAAUGCGUGGUGUAGCGGUGAAAUGCUUAGAUAUCGCGCAGAACCCCGAUUGCGAAGGCAGCAUGCC